rnacentral:lncRNA from 1 species
GGCCCGCCCCGCCCCGCUCACAAGUGGUCGCCGCAGGUGGCUGUGCGCCCACCCGCCCGCCCUCGGGCCGACGCGUGCGGGAUCAAAGCGGCCGGGAAGGGGCGGGGAGGGGAGGUGGCAGGAACCUGGAAGUGUCAGCGAGCUUCCCAGGGGAUGGCAGGAGCGUGGGAGCGCAGAGUCCCGGGAGGCGACAGAGACUCGGAGAGACGACGAGAUACCAGAGACCCGAGAGAGCCAGAGGCGGAGAUGCAGACGCCAAGACGCGGAGAGACGCGGAAUCAGAGAUGCGGAGGGAGGAGACCACCAACACCAGAGAGACCCAGGGCAGAAGUCGCUGAAGAUCUGGAAAAAACGUGAGAGAUACAGAGAUGGAGGAGCUAAGAGACACUCAGAGACCCGGAAAGGAGGCGAGACAAAAAAGGCAUAGACCCAUAGACUUAAGAAAAGAAAGCGUGCUUCAGAGAGAACGGAAAAUAACAGAGGAAGAGAGGUGGAAAGAACAAGGGAUGUAGAGUGGGGGGCGGGGAGACCUGGCCCUUCCCCCGCGGGGGGCCGAGAUCCGAGCACUGUGUCCUUUCUCAGGGUCACGCCUGCGGAGGUGCGGGCCGGGGACGGAGGGAGGGGGGUGUGGAGGCUGCAGGACCCCCAUGCUGGGAGGAGGGGAGUGCGAGGGCGUGCGGAAUCGUUUAGGCCUGGGGCUGCAAACUCUGCUAUAGUCAAAAGGUUAAGAUUAAUAUUUGGUAGAAAUAUUUAAGUGAAGAUGUUUCUUAGAAAUGCUACCAAAUAUAUUAUCCUUUUUUUGGAGGGGAGAAAA